GUUUCGUCGCUUUUGCAGAUUUCUGUCAUUCUGUGUCUGCCUGGUUCUUGGAGCGACACGAAUUUCGCCUUGGUUCUUGGAGCGACGCGAAUUUCGCCUUGGUUCUUGGAUCCUGCCUUUGGAUCUUGAACUCUCUGCAAACACUGUCAAAUGUUUGUGGAAGGAUGCUGCUGAUCAGGGUGUACUCGUGAGAAUUUUGAGAACAGAAUCAGGGUGAGGCCCCUCCCCGUGCGGUUUUUUUUUUGGGUUUGGAUCAUGUGAUUAUCAAACGGUGCAACAGGGUUCAUCUCACCUUUUGUGCUAAUGUAAAAAAGCAAUCGAUGUUUUGCAAGUUUUAAUCCUGAGCAUGUUCAGUUCCUCCAUCGCUCAGCUUAACUAUGAGAUGAUGCCCCGGUCCAGUCUUCAGAUCAGGAAAUCAUUUUUUUCAGCACAAACUUGAUUUGUAAACAGAUGUCUCAAAUAUCAAUGGUGUAUGAUAUCAUUUGUUGAUAUAAUUUAUGAUUUAGUAAUUUUUAC